rnacentral:rRNA from 1 species
AAUAGAUACCCAGGUAGUCCAUGCCGUAAACGUUGGGAACUAGAUGUAGGGCCUGUUCCACGGGUUCUGUGUCGUAGCUAACGCAUUAAGUUCCCCGCCUGGGGAGUACGGCCGCAAGGCUAAAACUCAAAGGAAUUGACGGGGGCCCGCACAAGCGGCGGAGCAUGCGGAUUAAUUCGAUGCAACGCGAAGAACCUUACCAAGGCUUGACAUAUAGAAGAACACUGCAGAGAUGCAGGACUCUUUGGACACUUCUAUACAGGUGGUGCAUGGUUGUCGUCAGCUCGUGUCGUGAGAUGUUCGGUUAAGUCCGGCAACGAGCGCAACCCUCGUCCUAUGUUGCCAGCACGUGAUGGUGGGAACUCAUGGGAUACUGCCGUGGUCAACACGGAGGAAGGUGGGGAUGACGUCAAAUCAUCAUGCCCCUUAUGUCUUGGGCUUCACGCAUGCUACAAUGGCCGGUACAAAGGGCUGCGAUACCGUAAGGUGGAGCGAAUCCCAAAAGCCGGUCUCAGUUCGGAUUGGGGUC